rnacentral:lncRNA from 1 species
CGCACACAGCCUUCUCCUCUCCGGCUUCAAUCCCAAGCUCCAAGUUCCCAAUCUGAUUGUUUCCCUGCAUAAGAUCCUGCUGAGGAUCGGAGCUAGAUCUCGUCUGACUGAUAUGCCCCCACCGGUGACAAGGGCCCUGCUACCUGCCUUCGGUCUCCCUGCCACCUCCAGACCCUUUUGUCAUGUCCUCGUCCCAUCUUCUGCCUGGGAAGACUCCUUGCCAUGCUCCAGAAGCCCUGAAGCUCCACAGAAACUUUUGUGUUUGCACCUGUAGCUUGGAACUUUGGACCCUUUGGGUCACUGAGACCAUGCUGACUCAGUAACAAUCACCUCUUUUCAAUCCUUCACAAGUUAAGUUACUAAAUUUCCUCAAGUAUUGCAUUUCAGACCAAUAAAAUGGGACAAGGUAGCCACUUUCAUGGAGUUGUUAUGAAGAUGGAGGCACUGUAAAGGGUUUACUCUAUUUGAAAAGUUAAGAUUUUGAAGUUUCGAAGGAAAGGUGCCACAACACAUAUUGCUCAGAUGUCAUCAGAAAGAGCUGCUGACUUUGUUGAGGAGGCCGAACAACCAACCACCCAUACUUGUCACCCCAGAAUCCCUUGGAAGAUCACCUGAAUGGUUGGAAAGCAUAGCAACAAGGCUGGUAUCUGACAGCAGAGGGCAUUUUGCUGUUGAAUCAAAGACAACAGAUUAGCAAGUCAAUUUCAUUAGCUUGGAAUGUAUAGUUAAUCGCACUAUGGAAUGAUUCCAUUCCUAAUGUCUACAGUUUCUAAAUCCUGAUUAUGAGCAUAUAUGCAGAAGACAUGCAAAUGUGUUUUAAAGAGAUUCUACAUCUGUCAAUGUUGGGAGGUUCCGGUUUCAACCAUGUGAGGUCCAGCAAGGUAUCUAAGUGCAUAAAGGAGCUUGCUAUCAGACCUGGUGACCUGAAUUUGAUCCCUGGGUUUGGUGGUAGGAGAGAACUGAUUCCCAAAAGUUGUCCUCUGACCUCCAUCAAUGCACCAUGGCACCUGUCCUCCUGUUCAAUAAUUUAAUACCAUGUAAAAAAAUAAUUAAAAACCUGUGUUUGCUGAUGAUA